rnacentral:rRNA from 1 species
CCCUUAGAUGUUCUGGGCCGCACGCGCGCUACACUGAUGCAUUCAACGAGCCUAUCCUUGACCGACAGGUCCGGGUAAUCUUUGAAUCUGCAUCGUGACGGGGAUAGAUUAUUGCAAUUAUUAAUCUUCAACGAGGAAUGCCUAGUAGGCGCAAGCCAUCAGCUUGCGUCGAUUACGUCCCUGCCCUUUGUACACACCGCCCGUCGCUCCUACCGAUUGGGUGUGCUGGUGAAAUGUUCGGAUCGGCCGUUUGUCGCGGUUUCCGCGUCAUGUGGCUGAGAAGUUCAUUAAACCCUCCCACCUAGAGGAAGGAGAAGUCGUAACA